GCAGAGUGACCAGCAGACAGGCACACAGAGUCUUUGGUGCUGAGAUGGUCUGGGAGAUGCAGAGUGAUGCGCUGAAAGAGAGAGAGAGCGCACGGAGAUGGCCACCUGCUGGAAACAAGUGGAGGCGACAGACGGAAUUGACAGAUUUACUUUGUGUCUCACCGACGAGGAAUUGAUUCGACUUCAUGAAGGGACCGGCGCUGCUGGACACACGCUGCUGUUGACGGAACAGGUCCGGAUUACAAGGAGCAGAAGAGACGCCUCUGCGUCAGCAUUGCAUUAAAUAUUCAGUCGGGCUGGCACCUGAUCUGACUGGAAUCAGUCGAUUCAAUGGGACGUUAUCAAGCAAAAACCAUCCUAUAGGAACUGGUCAGUAUGUACCUAUAGCCUCCCAACAGGUAGAGUCUGUCCGGAUCAUGCGCUUUAAUGGACGUGGAUGUAGUAGCCGCUAGAGGGCGCUAAAAGCAGUGUUGAAAUAAUAGUAAGCAUUUCAAUUGCAACGAGCUGAAAGCAGCGUGCUAACCCCGCAGCAAUCCCGCGGUUCGUACAGCUCCGGGCUGAACUAGUACGCAGGUUAAUACCAAUUGCAACGAACUUGGCGGCGCAAGGCAGCCCCCAGCUGCCCACUAAAAACGAUCUCGAUUGCAACGAACCCAAAAUAACUGCUGCUGCCCUCUGGAGGAUAUUAAGUACGAGACUGGGUUAGUCUAAACCUCUCUGUAGACUAACGGUUUAUAUUACCGUACUAAGCCGAACAAAUGUGAAAACAUCCCAAAAUGUAUUGACAACUUUUGUAACUGAACAAUUCAUAAUCACAGAUCCAUACCGCGUACCUGUGUUUACAGAGGAAAGACAUAUUGCACAGCAUUAUUAUUUUAUAUAAGGGAUAUCACUGCUGGCAUUGCAAUAUAUUCGUGUGGCGCUGGAGUGAGUUUCGUGACAUUAUAACAAUACGGAAAACGAGACUCCUGCUCCCCCAAUCACCUCCACAACGGAAAAAAUGAUCCAGAGGCAAAAUAUUACAAUUACGGUUGAAAUGAUUUAUUACAAAC